GACAGAGGUCCCGAGCGUUAGGCGGAAUCACUGGGCUUAAAGCGUGUGUAGGCGGAUGCCUAAGUACCUUGUGAAAUCCCAUGGCUCAACCAUGGAACUGCUUGGUAUACUGGGUGUCUUGAGCCAAUUAGGGGCUACCGGAACAAGUGGUGGAGCGGUGAAAUGCGUAGAUAUCACUUGGAACGCCAAUGGUGAAGACAGUCUGCUGGGGAUUUGCUGACGCUGAGACACGAAAGCCAGGGGAGCGAACGGG
rnacentral:rRNA from 1 species